GCAAGACAGGGUUUCAGGGAGGCAGGAGGGUGACCUCACCACGACUCUCUCCAACUUCCAUUUUUCGUAUGAGCCAGCACCUUUCCAAGUUCGUCUUGCUGACUGCUUCUCCUUUUCUUGUUUGGUGACUCUUGGAAGCAAGUUCAUUUCGACAGACCCGCAUUGCUGAAUCUCAGUGAUUCCCACCUCUGGCCGCAUCAAAAAUCCUACAGAACGUGGCAGGACGAGAAAGCUCCUUCUGCUGGAUCUCCUUCCCCAAUUCAACUGGGACUUAAAAGUGACCUUUCAGCUGCAAAUGAUGGUCAACAGGUACAUGAAAACAUGCUCACCGUCACUCAGCAUCAGGGACACGCAGAUC